AUUGAACGCUAGCGGGAUGCUUUACACAUGCAAGUCGAACGAGUGGCGGACGGGCGAGCAAUAUAUCGGAACGUGCCCAGUAGCGGGGGAUAACUACUCGAAAGCGUGGCUAAUACUGCAAACUAUGGGAUCGGCCGUUACGGGUUUAGCUAGUUGGGGGGGUAAAGGCUCACCAAGGCAACGAUCCGUAGCUGGUUUGAGAGGACGACCGGCCACACUGGGACUGAGACACGGCCCAGACUCCUACGGGAGGCAGCAGUGGGGAAUUUUGGACAAUGGGGGAAACCCUGAUCCAGCCAUCCCGCGUGUAUGAGAAGGCCUUCGGGUUGUAAAGUACUUUUGGCAGAGAAGCGGUAUCUGCAGAAUAAGCACCGGCUAACUACGUGCCAGCAGCCGCGGUAAUAC
rnacentral:rRNA from 1 species